UAUAUUUUAAAUAUUUUUACGUUGCCAAAUUGGUGUAAUUAUUUUUUUUAUUUUUUUUAUUUUCCUGUUUUCAAAUCAAAAUACACAACAUAUGAUACUAAAUGUUGUACACUUUGUGACUGUGCAGCUGAUUGUUCCUGGCAAAUGUGGGCAAGCACAACGGCAACCUGCUGCUGCUGGGAGUCCCAACCUGUCCCCUUCUGAGCCCCCCUCCCCUUCUCACACCCAUUCCCCCUCUCCUUCCCAGUCCCCUUCUCAGCCCCCCUCCCCUUCUCACACCCAUUCCCCCUCUCCUUCCCAGUCCCCUUCUCAGCCCCCCUCCCCUUCUGUCGCACAAUCCCCCUCUUCUUCCCAGUCCCCUUCUCAGCCCUCCUCCCCUUCUGUCGCACAAUCCCCCUCUCCUUCCCAGUCCCCUUCUCAGCCCCCUCCCCUUCUGUCGCACAAUCCCCCUCUCCUUCACAGUCCCCUUCUCAGCCCCCUCCCCUUCUGUCGCACAAUCCCCCUCUACUUCACAGUCCCCUUCUCAGCCCCACUCCCCUUCUGUUUACCAAUACCCCUCUCUGUCCCCCUCCACCUCUGUUGGCCAAACCACCUCUCUGCCCACCUCACCCUCUCUUUCCCAUUCCCCCUCUCUGUCCCCUUCCCCCUCUGUGACCCAACCCACCUCUCCACCACCCUCCCCAUCUAAGUCUGACCCACCCUCUGGACCAAGCUCCCCUUUCCAGCCUCCUUCCCCCAUCCAGCCGCCUUCCCCACCCAGUGAAUGGGCAGAAGAAGCCCCUGCGGAGAUUCCGGAGAGUCCGCAUGUGGCAGAUGAGAAUGGUGCCGUUGGAGAUCCCACAAGCCUGGCAGGCAUCGUUGGCCGGAUCAAGGCUCAUUUGGAGGCCAUUUUGGCCGAAGUACAUAAUUUACAAAAUUUAAUUUAAAAACAAAAAAGUUU